AGACAACAACGAAGAAGAAGAACCAGAGUUUGUUCUCAUAAUUGAUGUUCAGUCGCAGAUUCAAAUCGGCGGCCACCAUGGCCUUUUGGGAUGAAGAGUCGAUAUGUUUUUAAGUCCAAGACUCAACCCACCAAUUCAUCGAGAAGAAAGCGGACAGUUCAGCGAAAAAGCCCGGUUUCAAUCCCAGUGGCUGCUCUUGACCUUGAUAAUGAAGAAACUACAAAAGAAGAGAGUGAGAAAGAGAAGGUAGAGCCUGAAAUUGUUGUUGUGAAUGAAGAAAAGAAAACAUGAGAAGAUGAGAAGGGUGAGAGGUUUGGUGCUUCGUGCU